GCCUGGGUGGCUCAGUCGGUUAAGUGUCUGACUUGGACUCUGGUUACAAUCUCGUGGUUUGUGGGUUCAAGCCCCGCAUCGGGCU
rnacentral:tRNA from 1 species